rnacentral:rRNA from 1 species
UACGUAGGGUGCGAGCGUUUGUCCGGAAUUACUGGGCGUAAAGAGCUCGUAGGUGGUUUGUCGCGUUGUUCGUGAAAACUCACAGCUCAACUGUGGGCGUGCGGGCGAUACGGGCAGACUGGAGUACUGCAGGGGAGACUGGAAUUCCUGGUGUAGCGGUGGAAUGCGCAGAUAUCAGGAGGAACACCGGUGGCGAAGGCGGGUCUCUGGGCAACAACUGACGCUGAGGAGCGAAAGCGUGGGGAGCGAACAGG